CUCGGUGACCUUUGACCUUGGGUGCAAAUUAAAGGUCACAUGAAUUAAAGAUUAUUGGUGUAGGUCCCAAGUCUCUACGACUUCCAGUUCUCGAAAUACAAUUUUUCAAAAAUUGUGUAUAUUUUUUUAAGAGAAAUAACUCCUUAUAAGGGUCAAUAACAAAAUCAUUUUAUAUGUUCAUUAACAUUGCCAUCUGUUUCUGUAUAUGUUGCCGUUUUCAAAUCGAUUCUAUCCCUAAUACUUUUUGAGAAAAAUGCAAAGGAAAGAAAUCGCUUCAAGGGGAUAUAACUCGCAUAGGGGAUGAUGAAAUCCUAUGCAGCCUCAUAUGGUAGUACAUCAUGAUGAGAUCAACCUAUAGUCAAAAUAAGGUCAUGAUAUCUUUAAAAACAACGAAGGGGGGCCAUGUUGAAAAAAUCCAAUAAAAGGGGGAUAACUUCUACAGGGGAUGAUGAAAUCCUUAACAGGGUCAUGUGGUAAUACUUCAAGAUGAUGUCUAUCGAUGGUCCAUAUUUGGUCUUGAUAUCUUUAACAAAAACGGGGGGAGGGCAUUCCCAAAAAAAUGUUGGAAGAAAAAAAAGAAAAAAAAAAAAAAAAAAAAAAAGAAAAAGAAAAAAAAAAAAAAAAAGAAAAAAAAAAAACAUUAGAAAAACAAUAAGGUCUUUCCUAACGGAGUGGAAAGACCUUAAAAAAAGAA